rnacentral:lncRNA from 1 species
AAAAAGACGAGAAAAUAUGGUGUUUUGGAUACUAGCAUAGGAAACAUGGAGUUAACCCCAUUAGAACAAGAUGAUGAAGACGACGACACAUUAUUUGAUGCCAAUCAACCUCGGAGGUUAGUACCUCACAUUGGAUACACAGUUCCUCUACAAAAAAUGGUGUCUGAUGAGUGAAUGGGAAGAUCUAAGAUUCUAAGCAUGCUUUUAAAGGGAAGCUAUCAUAAAAAAAUGUUGCAAUGUAAACAUGUAAUUUACAAAGUUGCUAUUUUAUCAACUGGCNNNNNNNNNNNNNNNNNNNNNNNNNNNNNNNNNNNNNNNNNNNNNNNNNNNNNNNNNNNNNNNNNNNNNNNNNNNNNNNNNNNNNNNNNNNNNNNNNNNNUUCAGUAGACAUCAGUAGGUAGAACCAUUUCUGUUAACAAAUUUCUCAGACUGUACUAGAAGAAGGUUACUGUUAGUAUUUUCAUUAGUUAGACAGGUAAAAAACUGUCUCUAUAGUACACCCAUCGUCUUAGAUGGAGUUGAAUUAGUAAACAAAAUAACAAAUACUUAAUACCGUGUAAAUUAAACACUGUGGCCAUUUCCUGCUGUGUUCCUUCUUUUUACCUCCAGUGGAUUCCUUUUAACCAUUUAACUCCUGCACACAAGGUUAGGGACAAGGAGGGAUAUAAUAGUAAUCCCUUCCUGGUUAUUAGUGGCAUACAUGUUUGGAUAUUCAUUUGUAUUAUAUUUUUAUAGAAUACUCUGCUACCUGCUGAGACAACCAGGCUCUUUCCAUUUGUUUAGAAAAAAAAACGCCAGUUCAGGUUAAUCAGGGCUUGACAAAUCUCAAGUCGCAUGGCGUUUAGACAUUUUCUCCUGGCGCCUGGUCGUUUGUCAGCCCUUUUAGUGCUAGCCACAUUAGCACGCCCCCCUCUCCUGGAAUAGAGGCUGACGGUGAGGGAGUUGUAAUCUUCCUGCUCUGAUCCCUGACUCGCCCUGCUGUGUUGCCAGGAUAUGAUGUCACUAAACAUUGCCCGAGGGAGCACAACAAGAAGAGCUUGAGUAUUACAGAAGCCCUAUUGAACUCCCAAAGGUAGGGAAGCCGGGAGGACCUAAAUUGAAAUAAAAUUAAUAAUUUGUGACUGUGUGAGAGAAUGUGUGAAUGCGCUUCAGACUGGGGGAUUUUUUGCCUUCUUUUGGAUCAACAGCAAAAACAAAUGUGAGGAAGGCUGAACUUGAUGGACGCAAGUCUCUUUUCACCUAUGUAUCUAUGUUUGUGAGUGUGUGAGUAUUGGUACUCUAAUUCUAAAAAUACAAGGCAUGUUUAUGGAAGUGGAAAAAAAAAAACAUACAUUGCAUAAAACAUCUGGAGUGUCUCAUCAGAAUAUAUUAAUUAGCUGCAUAAGUUAAACGCCCAUGACAUUUGGUUCGUCUUCUUUAUGUGUAAAUUUAAAGCAACACUAUAGUGUGAGGAAUCCAAACAUGUAUUAUUGACAUUGUAGUGUUUAACUAUGUAGGUUACUGCCCAAUCCCCCUCCAAUUGCAUGGGAAAGGUGUUGCGCCAUCUUGCAGUGGCUGGCUCCGCCUCCAUCGUUGAGAUAAUCAGUCUUGAUUAUCUCCCCAGUGCUUUCCCAAAGGAAAGUGUUAUGAGCCUAUUGCGCAUGUUUGGGAAAAUGCUGCGCUGCUCCAAUCCGCAUCUCCUCCUACAGAUUCGUUGAAUAAGUGCAUCUUUGGGGAACAUUCAGCGCCUCCAUGCAUAGCACAGAGACGAUGAAUGUAGGUGCUGCACACUUUGCCGCACUGGACUAGGAAGCACAUCUAGUGGCCCCCUGAGUGACAUCCACUAGAGGUGUAACUAAGCCACAAUGUAAAAGAGUUUUCUCUUAAAAGGCGGUGUUUACUUUGAAAAUUCUGGAGAGACAGGCUAUAUAUACCAGAACCACUAUGUUAAGCAGUGGUGGUUCUGAUGAAUAUAGUGUCCAUUAAGGUCUGUUAUUUUUGUAAUUAUUGGGGGGGGGGAGAGGGAGGGUGGACUAGCUCCUAACUUUUUUAGCUGUCUCCGAGAUUCAAAGCAAAUUUGUCAUGUCCGGAGAUAAAUUUCAGAAUUUCUUAAUUGUGCAUAUAAUUUGCACACUGGCUAAUUUUGGAAUAUGCAUUCAAAUAGUCUUUAGUAAAUAUAUGAACUUUAAUAUUUGGUUUAACUUCAGUGAUUUUUCAAAAUUUUGCUGUUUGAAUUGAGAUAAAUUACCACUAUCCUGGUUUCUAUUAUAAAUAUAAAGAGGCAAAUAAAUCCCAACUGUAGUCAUAUUCAGUUGUGCAUAAAAAGAAAGAUAAAAAUAUCCAAACUUGCAUUAAAAUUCCUAUUUACCCCAACAUUAUUUCAACAUUUACGCAUAUUGUGCAUUCAAGACUUAACAUUUGUUUGUUCGUUUUUCUUUUAAGGUAAUCCGGUGCCUUGACUUGGACGAAGUUUUAAAACGAAGAAAUACAUACUGUGCUUUAAAAGAAAGUUGAGUUGGCUUAUUGCUGCUUAGUCACAGGGCAUUGUUUCCUCGCUUAAUAACAACCUGUUCAGAACAAUUGUUGGCUAUUAAUGCAGCUGAGAUAAGAUGGGGCGGUCCGUCGUUAUCAAGGAACGAACCAUUUAUAAACCGUUUUAUAUUAAACCAGGCGACAAUACCUGAGAACCUUAGGCAGCAUAACUAUUAACGCACGAUGUAGUGGUUAUAUUCCGUAUAUUAAAAAAACAACAAAAGUUUAAUUUGUCGUCCUAUCCAAAGACUUCUGGGAAUAAAUGUAAUUCUCGUUUUGUAUAUACUUUAUAGCAAUAUACUGAGAAAUGUCACAAAACUUUCAUUAAAAGAUCAUAUUUAAGACAAUAUGGGUUUGCUCCCUUUAUUAUGGUGAUGUAUUAUUUAAAUCUUUUGCUUUUUGUAUAUUUAUUGUAGUAAAAUGAUGUCAAAUUUUAGAUACAAAUCUUAUAAAUAUUGUUUUUAUUUAUAUGCAUUUAAUGAUUAGUUUAAAAAUCUUCACCCAAAGCAUGUUUGUUUGUUUUUUUGUUUGUUUGUUUUUGU